CCUGUUAAAUUAAGAGGGUCCAGCCUGCCCAGUGACAAAUGUUCAACGGCCGCGGUAUCCUAACCGUGCGAAGGUAGCGUAAUCACUUGUUCUUUAAAUGAGGACUAGUAUGAAUGGCACCACGAGGGUUGCACUGUCUCCUUUCCCUAAUCAAUGAAACUAAUCUCCCCGUGAAGAAGCGGGGGUACUAAUAUAAGACGAGAAGACCCUAUGGAGCUUUAAAUUUCUCUUCAAACGCCAGACACAAACAUCUGACACUUUACAUUAACCCGACGCCUUGAAGAUGAAUUUUAGGUUGGGGUGACCAUGGAGAACAAAAUAACCUCCACGCUGAAAAGGCCUCCAAGCCUUGAGCCGAGGGCUACAACCCAACGCACUAAAAAAUUAACACCCAUUGACCCAAUAUUUUUGAUCAACGAACCAAGUUACCCUAGGGAUAACAGCGCAAUCUACUUCAAGAGUCCCUAUCGACAAGUGGGUUUACGACCUCGAUGUUGGAUCAGGGUAUCCCAGUGGUGCAGCCGCUACUAAAGGUUCGUUUGUUCAACGAUUAAAACCCUACGUGAUCUGAUUCCAGACCAGA
rnacentral:rRNA from 1 species